rnacentral:rRNA from 1 species
AUUGAACGCUGGCGGCAGGCUUAACACAUGCAAGUCGAGCGAGCGGCGGACGGGUGAGUAAUGUCUGGGCAACUGCCUGAUGGAGGGGGAUAACUACUGGAAACGGUAGCUAAUACCGCAUACAUUAUGCUGUUCCCCGAUGGAAUUAGCUAGUAGGUGGGGUAUUGGCUCACCUAGGCGACGAUCCCUAGCUGGUCUGAGAGGAUUACCAGCCACACUGGAACUGAGACACGGUCCAGACUCCUACGAGAGGCAGCAGUGGGGAAUAUUGCACAAUGGGCGCAAGCCUGAUGCAGCCAUGCCGCGUGUGUGAAGAAGGCCUUCGGGUUGUAAAGCACUUUCAGCGAGGAGGCGUUACUCGCAGAAGAAGCACCGGCUAACUCCGUGCCAGCAGCCGCGGUAAUUC